rnacentral:rRNA from 1 species
AGAGUUUGAUCCUGGCUCAGGACGAACGCUGGCGGCGUGCUUAACACAUGCAAGUCGAACGAUGAACCACCUCGGUGGGGAUUAGUGGCGAACGGGUGAGUAACACGUGGGCAAUCUGCCCUGCACUUCGGGACAAGCCCUGGAAACGGGGUCUAAUACCGGAUACGACGCGCUCGGGCAUCCGAUGCGCGUGGAAAGCUCCGGCGGUGCAGGAUGGGCCCGCGGCUAUCAGCUGGUUGGUGAGGUAACGGCUCACCAAGGCGACGACGGGUAGCCGGCCUGAGAGGGCGACCGGCCACACUGGGACUGAGACACGGCCCAGACUCCUACGGGAGGCAGCAGUGGGGAAUAUUGCACAAUGGGCGCAAGCCUGAUGCAGCGACGCCGCGUGAGGGAUGACGGCCUUCGGGUUGUCAACCUCUUUCAGCAGGGAAGAAGCGCAAGUGACGGUACCUGCAGAAGAAGCGCAAGAAGCGCCGGCUAACUACGUGCCAGCAGGCGCGGUGAUACGUAGGGCGCGAGCGAUGUCCGGAAUUAUUGGGC